rnacentral:rRNA from 1 species
AUUGAACGCUGGCGGCAUGCUUUACACAUGCAAGUCGAACGGUAACAGGCCUUCGGGUGCUGACGAGUGGCGAACGGGUGCGUAAUGCAUCGGAACGUGCCCAGAGGUGGGGGAUAACGCAGCGAAAGCUGUGCUAAUACCGCAUGUGAUCUGAGGAUGAAAGCGGGGGACCAGGCAGCAAUGUUUGGCCUCGCGCCUUUGGAGCGGCCGAUGUCAGAUUAGGUAGUUGGUGGGGUAAAGGCCUACCAAGCCGACGAUCUGUAGCUGGUCUGAGAGGACGACCAGCCACACUGGGACUGAGACACGGCCCAGACUCCUACGGGAGGCAGCAGUGGGGAAUUUUGGACAAUGGGCGCAGGCCUGAUCCAGCAAUGCCGCGUGCGGGAAGAAGGCCUUCGGGUUGUAAACCGCUUUUGUACGGAACGAAAAGGCUCUGGCUAAUACCUGGGGCUGAUGACGGUACCGUAAGAAUAAGCACCGGCUAACUACGUG